rnacentral:rRNA from 1 species
GAUGAACGCUAGCGGGAGGCCUAACACAUGCAAGCCGAGCGGGAUUUGUUGGUUAGCUUGCUAACUAACAAUGAGAGCGGCGUACGGGUGCGUAGCACGUGUGCAACCUGCCUUUAUCUGGGGGAUAGCCUUUCGAAAGGAAGAUUAAUACCCCAUAACAUAUUGAUUGGCAUCAGUUAAUAUUGAAAGCUCCGGCGGAUAGAGAUGGGCACGCGUAAGAUUAGCUAGUUGGUGAGGUAACGGCUCACCAAGGCUGCGAUCCUUAGGGGGCCUGAGAGGGUGAUCCCCCACACUGGUACUGAGACACGGACCAGACUCCUACGGGAGGCAGCAGUGAGGAAUAUUGGACAAUGGGUGAGAGCCUGAUCCAGCCAUCCCGCGUGAAGGACUAAGGACCUAUGGUUUGUAAACUUCUUUUAUACAGGGAUAAACCUACUCUCGUGAGGGUAGCUGAAGGUACUGUAUGAAUAAGCACCGGCUAACUCCGUG